GGGGGCGUCCGGUCUCGACGGGGCAGUCAGGGUUUCGGGAUAGCGAGCCGAAGGCGUGUGCGUUACAGCGCAAGGCACACAAAUGCCAACACCAACAAUCGGACUCUCGCUCUCGCCGCCUAGGUAGCGAAAGCAUGAGUCCCCGGGCCUAGCGCCCGGGCGCCGCCCCCGGCUCCGCCGGCGAGCCGGGGAGGCGGUGUCACAAAAAACCCGGCUCGCCGGACCGAGGGCGCCGCGGCCUCGGUCCGGGACACUCACCGCGGCUGGCCAUCGGGGAUCCCGCUGGGAGGAGCCCCGUGGUGAGAGCAAAAUCCCCGAUACGCUCGUAGAGGUCCCGGGGCACUCUGUUUCGGACGCGGGUUCAACUCCCGCCGCCUCCACCA
rnacentral:tmRNA from 1 species